UUGCCAUGACAAGCCCCCAGGCCCCGGGUCCUAGUUCCACUCCUCUCCGUUCAGUUCUGCGCUGAAAACCCCCUUCUUUUUUGCCAUAUUUUCCAGCAUUUUCCACCUCCUAUCUCAACCAUCAACUCUUGUUACAACAUUUCAAUUAAAAGUUAAACGUGCACGUAAUUAUGCGGACUACAAGGAAAAUGUAGCCCAGAAAUCAGCAUGUGUGACCAAAAGAGAUUCGGAACAAAAGGAAGCGGAGUGGAUUGAACAGCGAUUAGGGCAAGCAAACACAGGAAUUAUGUCAAAAUCAACAAGAGGGAAACUGGGGGAAACAAAGAAGAGAGGAGACUGGAAACAAGAAGCCCAGGCUUGGGCUUGGGGCUUGGGGCUGAGCACAAAGCCCCACAAAUCGAGGUCGGGAAUUGAUAACAGCGGAGCAGCUGUAGCCUAAAAGCUCAAAUUUGGCGAUGCCGAGGCACGAAAAAUUCAUGAGCAGCAGCAAACAAGAAGGGAAAACAAACCAAUGAUAA